rnacentral:rRNA from 1 species
AUCUCUCGGUUAAAUUACGCUGUCCUCACUCUCAUUCCUAAAGUUAAAGGGGCAGAAUUGAUCUCUAAGUUUAGACCUAUAGCCCUGAUUAAUAAUUUUGCUAAACUAUCGGCAAAAGGCCUUGCUACUAGGCUCUCCCCUAUUUCCCAUCAUACUCUCAGUCCUUUCCAAUCGGCCUUUGUUAAGGGCAGGUUUAUAUUAGAUGGCAUCCUUUGUCUCCAUGAGAUUGUUCAUGACCUGCGAGUCCGGGACUCCAAAGCGGUGAUUCUAAAACUUGACUUCGAAAAAGCUUACGACUCGAUUAGUUGGAAUUUCCUUCGACAAGUGCUUCUGGACAAGGGCUUUGACAGUGCAGUGGUUCACAGACUUAUGCAGUUGGUCACGGGUGGCCACACUGCGGUCUCUGUCAACGGGAACAUCAGUCACUUCUUCUCCAACGACAGGGGCCUGAGGUAG